AGCAGCCGCGGUAAUUCCAGCUCCAAUAGCGUAUAUUAAAGUUGUUGCAGUUAAAAAGCUCGUAGUUGAAUUUCGGGACCAAUAUGUUGGUCGUGCCUCGGUACGCACUGGCAUUAUUGGUUUCUCCCUUCUGACGAACUACGAUGCCAUUAAUUUGGUGUCGUAGGGAAUCAGGACUGUUAACUUUGAAAAAUUGAGUGUUUAAAGCAGGCUCGCGCUUGAAUACAUUAGCAUGGAAUAAUGAAAUAGGACGUUUGAUUCUAUUUUGUUGGUUUCUAGGAUCGACGUAAUGAUUAAUAGGGAUAGUUGGGGGCAUUAGUAUUCAAUUGUCAG
rnacentral:sRNA from 1 species